rnacentral:lncRNA from 1 species
UUGGAUUACUGUCUGGUGUUAGAUUAGAUUUAAAGGAUCAUUAUUAUGUUCCUGUAGCUAGUCAGAAUUUGAUUUUCGUGUCUGUACUAGUACAGAAAGGUUUUGAAAUUAGUUUCAAUAAAAAAUUUUAUUUCAUUUAUUUACAAAAUAAAUUGGUUGCAUGAGAUCUUUUAAUUGAUAGCCUUUAUCAUUUGCAUUUUGAUGCGAAUGUGAACGUAAACGAGCAAAUAGUAAGUACUGUAGGCCAAAAGAGAUCUAGAGAUGAAAUUAACCAGAAGUACUUGUGGCACCAUAGACUAGAUUAUAUUGGAGAGGACAGG